UACGUAGGUGACAAGCGUUGUCCGGAUUUACUGGGCGUACAGAGCGCGCAGGCGGUCGUUCAAGUCGAGUGUGAAAGCCCCCGGCUCAACUGGGGAGGGUCAUUCGAUACUGAUCGACUCGAAGGCAGGAGAGGGUAGUGGAAUUCCCGGUGUAGUGGUGAAAUGCGUAGAUAUCGGGAGGAACACCAGUGGCGAAGGCGACUACCUGGCCUGUUCUUGACGCUGAGGCGCGAAAGCUAGGGGAGCAAACGGG
rnacentral:rRNA from 1 species